GGCUUCGAGGAGGCGGCGGUGGAGGAGCUGGAGUUGGCGUUGCCGGACUUCACCUUCUUCCUGGGCCGGUACUUGUAGUCGGGGUAGUCAGCCAUGUGCUUGAGGCGCAGCCGCUCCGCCUCCCGAAUGAAAGGGAUCUUGUCGCUGUCUUUGAGCAGCUUCCAGCGUUUGCCCAGCCGCUUGGAGAUCUCGGCGUUGUGCAUGUCGGGCGACUGUUCCAUGAUCUUGCGCCGCUCGAUCUGCGACCACACCAUGAAGGCGUUCAUGGGCCGCUUGAUGUGCCCACUUGGCGUCUUGCACCAGCUCGGGUCGUCGGCCUUGCCGCCCGUGGAGGCUGUGGAGCCGGGCGUGGGGGAGGAGGCGAUGCCCAGCUCCAGGCCGGCGCCCGAGUCCGAGCUCUCGCCGGCCAGCAGCGCUUCCGUGUUCUCGGCGUUGUUGGUUUGCUGCACCAUGGCCCCGGCUCCGCGGGCGCCCACGCGCGCUCACACCCUCGCGGCGGCCGCGGCGCGAUCGCCGGGCCCUCCCGGCUCCCGGAGCCAAGCGCACGCCGAGCGGGAGGACGCGUGCGGCUGCGGAGCUGGCCGCUCAACUCCCGGCCGGGGCGGAGGUGGGCGAAGAGCGAAAAGUCACCAAAGGAUGCGGGGUAGGAGUACUCCGCCUCUUGCAGAGGAGUUAUAGUUCCCAGGCUGGAGCGUCUCCCUCCCUCCCUCCCUCUCUCGCUCUUGCUCUUCUCUUUCUCACCGCGCCGCAGUUUGCUCUAUCUCGGCUCGGAGUCCUGGAGACCGUGCUAAAGUGAAGAGGAGUUUCUCGAAUGCUGGUUGCUGAAGCUUCCAGUGCAAGUUUCUCGCCGCCUCCCAGGCAAGUCUGGAUUUUUUUUUUUUUUUUUUUCUUCCCCUGAAGCAGUUGAUUCCAGUUCACGAGCGCUCUCGGGAGCUCAGGAAAGCGACAUAGUCUCUAUCAUUUAGUCCCUCUCCUGCAAUGCAAAGCAGAAAAGACUCUGGCUCCAGGACUCUCUGUGGGCGGAAUCGGCACUAAGGAGUUUGUGCAAUUAUUUUGUUGCAAGGUAGGAAGCCAAAAAGCCUUCAUGCAACAGACUGGCAUGAAUAAAUGUAUGUUUCCCCCUCCCUUCUGCAAGAAGGGAGCUGGUAAUGGCACAGUUCCUCCGAUGCAGACUCUUAAAGAGCGUGCAAGAACUAGAGACCCGGGAGCGAAACAGGCCUCUCCCCCUCACACACUGUUUCUCUUGCUGCAGCUUAGAGCAGACCCCAAUUCCGCCUCGCGCCUCUUUAUCCUUUCCCAGUCCUGGCCGCAGCCAAUCAGCCGCUGUAACCAACGCUUCCUCGUGCCAAGCCCCUCCCCCGGGCUUCCUAUUGGCUUGGAACCCGAUGCAAUAAUAAUCUCCGCGUGCAAUGAGAAGCUCCAAAUCUGACCUCAUUCCAAUUUACAGAGCAAACUUUUUAAAAGGGCUAGAAGUACAGCUGAGAUUUCUGCUGCCUCUUUUUUCCUUUUGCUGUGCCUGCGUGUGUGCGUUUGUGUGUGUGUCUGUGUAUGUGUGUGUGUGCAGCAUGUGGUGUUUGAAGAGGAUGUUAAUGCAUGAAAUUAUUAAGGGGAGAGACGGAAAUGUAUUCUAACCAUUAUGUUAGAUAACAAGGGGCUUAGAAGGGGGGAGGGUGAAAUACUGUAAAUGGAAGCUUUCUGCUUAAAAGCCAAGUGAUUAUUUUUAUUAGUUCUUUUCAGUAUUGGAAUAAAGAAUCAGCCUCUGGUGCAAAAUCUGUUCCUCGGCUCCUUCAUAAAGCCAAGGAUGUAGAAGGGGGAGGAAAACCACGACAAUAAAUCAAUGGAUAUUGAAAACCAUUAAGAAAGUGGUACCUGGACACCUGUCAUCACAGUUAUUUUAACAACUCGAGGUACAGCACAGAUGUUGAUGUACUGUGUAAAUCCCUUCAGAGCAAUUUGGGUGCUGUUUGUGAAGGCAGAGAAGAAGAAUUUUUGCAAUAAUUAUUUGCUUUCUUAACCAAACAGGGGUUAACUAUGGUUACUUAAUGAUUUAAAUUCGGCUAUAAAUCCUGGAUAGCCUAAACAGAGGAGCUUUCCACUGGAGCACAUUAGGCAGCAUUCUAUACUUAACUCAAGGGGAGAAUUUACAUAGAAUUUUGUGUAAGAUGAUAAAGGAUAGGAAUCGAUUUUACUUUCUAAGUAUUUGCUUUCCACAUUUUCAGAAUUAAAGAUUGCUCCACUCUGUCCUUCUCCCAGCCUAAACCCUCCUCCUUUCCUUUAUAUAUAUUUUCUCCUAUAUAUUAGCUGCUUCAAUCAAAUGGAACUGAAAGACCCAGACAAAGAGAAACUAGAAGGCAGUGGUAGCUGGUUGCAGAAGAAAAUGGAACCUCUGGAUUUACAUUAGAUUUGGUGAUUUAUAUUAGAUCUGGUCGCUAGUCCUUUUUACUGGUCUUGUAACCCUGGGGAUGUGACAAGUAUCAGUUUUCCUCAUCUGUGAUGUGGGAACAGUAGGAACUACUUUAUGUAGGGUGUUUGUGAAGGUUGAAUGAGCUUGAUGUACAGUAAGCCCUCAGUGAAUGCUGUUGUCCUUCCCUGGCUAAUUCACAUUGUGAAGACACUCCCUUUAGUAGAAGCAUGUUGUUCAAGAGACUAAAAUUGAGGAUGGCCACUGAUGUGAAAAAAUAAUCACAGAUCAUAAACAUGAACUAUCCAAGGACCACAUCAGCAAUCCUAUUGUCCUAAUGAUUUGAAAAGAAACUUCAUGAAGAGCCUUGUGAAGAACGCAGCAAAGAAAAUGUGCUUUCGUAGUCAGAAUACAUGCUAAUUUAGCCAUGAAAAUUACCUUUGGUCUAAGUAUCCUCAUGAGAACAAGAAGAAAACGGGUGUUUCCACUGGGCCACGGAGAUUUGAAGCAUAAAUACAAGCUUCUGUCUGCCCCAUUUCGCGAGGCAGGAGCAGGGCACACCCACUGGGAGCCUGGGUUUGCUCUGCCACCAGCCGGCUCCCAAUCCGGGGAGAAGCCGCCGCCAGGUGGCAGCGCUGAGCCUCCCUGCACUCGCAUGGAGACGUGGGAAAACGUGGAGACUGUCAGACUUCUUUCUUCUCCCCCUUCCACCUCUCCCGAACCCUUAUCAUCCCACACUCUUCCAACGUGUUUAGGUAGCAGUUUAAAUGAUCAGAGGUUAUAGAGUGUGUCGAUGAAUCUUGAUGAUUUUUUUUUAAAUCAUAAAUCGAGUUUGGGGCAACGAACAGUUUUGGCCUCCUGUUCACUUGUCAAAGCUCCCAGACACUGGAGACGCCAAGGCUAGCUCCGGUUUGGGUCUAGUAAGUGAACCGGGCAGUUAUCAAUUACCGUGUCCGUAUCUUGCUGAAGCUGCAAGUAGUUAGAAGUCUCUCUCCGAGAGCCGCUGCAAAGGAGGCGCGCUUUACUUAAGGACUGGCAACGGAUACCCCUCCUCCUGGAAAGAUGGUCUCAGCCAGACGCCUGACCGAGCGCAGCGACUCGGUGGCGCAGGCUCGGCGCUCUUCCUGCCCUGAGCUCGGAGAGGAUUCGGCGGGGAUUAAUGGUGCUCAGCCGCGUUCCGCCGCGCCGGCUGAGACUGGCCUUGCGAUUAUGGUUACAGGGAGGAAAUAAAUUGGAAUCGACUCA
rnacentral:lncRNA from 1 species